AACGAACGCUGGCGGCAUGCCUAACACAUGCAAGUCGAACGAGACCUUCGGGUCUAGUGGCGCACGGGUGCGUAACGCGUGGGAACCUGCCCUUAGGUUCGGAAUAACUCCCCGAAAGGGGUGCUAAUACCGGAUAAUGUCUUCGGACCAAAGAUUUAUCGCCUUUGGAUGGGCCCGCGUUGGAUUAGCUAGUUGGUAGGGUAAAAGCCUACCAAGGCGACGAUCCAUAGCUGGUCUGAGAGGAUGAUCAGCCACACUGGGACUGAGACACGGCCCAGACUCCUACGGGAGGCAGUAGUGGGGAAUAUUGGAAAAUGGGCGAAAGCAUGAUCAAGCAAUGCCGCGUGAGUGAUGAAGGCAUUAGGGUUGUAAAGCUCUUUUAACCGGGAUGAUAAUGACAGUACCGGGAGAAUAAGCUCCGGCUAACUCCGUG
rnacentral:rRNA from 1 species